GAAAAUCAACAGGAUCUAAUUGUGAGGAGCAGAUGAUACAUCUCCAGGUGGAACUCAAAUGUGAAAUUGCAGAAGUUUGUCUUUGGUACCAAGUGCAAAGAGUGAGUAAUGUGGUGAUCAGAGGAAAGGCUGACUGUCUGGAAAGAAGCUGGGCCCAGUAAAACAGAGGUUGAGAGAGGACACAGUGGCUAUCUAUAAAUAUAUUAUGAGAACUCCUGUCUGUUGGUAGGUGACUACUUCAUCAAGUUUGCUUUUCACUUGGAUAGAAGAACCAGAAAAUGAACCUGGCACUAGAGGAAGCCUGUGUUCCUUCCACAGGUGGGGAAAGCAGCGGGCCUCUCUAAAGCAAGAUUCACAGAAGCAUAUACCAGACUCUUGAUGCUGGAUGUGAAGGCAGAAACAAUUUACUGUUUUAAAACAACGAGCCUGUUCCUCAGGAGACACUGGUAAAAUUCAUGUGAAGGCACACACUAGCUUCCUUGACUGCAAUGCAAUCCAAACUCGGGCUUGAAAACCCAACACUCAGAGUAUUGCGUCAAGCUGAGAAUGUGCGGUUGCUGUCCUCUGCUCAGCUGCUUGUCUCACCUCUUCAGCAAAAACUAAAGCCCUGGAAGCUGGAGGAGGUCAGACCUUCCCUGCAUUGCUAAGGCAUGGGGACAAAUUGGCAUCUAUAGAACAGAUCUUCAUUGCCUCCCUUGAGCAUUUUUCCAAGACUGAACAAAUGUAGAAAAUGAUAUUGUAAUUGUGGG